rnacentral:rRNA from 1 species
CUGACCUCAAAUCAGGCAGGACUACCCGCUGAACUUAAGCAUAUCAAUAAGCGGAGGAAAUCGAAUUUCC